AAGCCGUCUUCCUAGGCGGGCUCCUCCCAGAGUCAGCUGCUCUGUGCUUCCAAAAGGCAAACUCAUUUUAUCAGAAAACAGCCAUGUCUGGCGAACAGAGGCUCCUUGUCUGAAAGGAGCCAGCCAGGAAGUGCCUGCUGCGCUCCUGUAAACGUGGACAUUCACUGAAGUCAGGCUGUCUCGAGGGUGGACGCUGCGCAGGCGGAUGGAGCAAGGAGGGCAGGGAGCUGCAGAGAUGACAGACAGGAAAUUGUGACAAUGUACAUGUGUGUAUGAAGAAGACGGGGAUAAAUAUGAGAACAUAAGGCAGAGGAUCUGGAUUUAUUUCCCUAGAGGGCUUGUUGGGCAUCACCUGCCCUGUCCAACUUCGUCCACUCUAAGCCAGCUGGCCAGCACUGGGGGAUCAUCUGCCACAAUGGAACAGGCUCUGUCUGUCACUCUCUUCAACAGCAGAUGGCCACCCUGCACUCAUCCCCAUCAUACGCCAUCGCUAAGGGAGACACCAUGGUCCACCUACAAUUCACAAGCACUUUCCUCCAACUCAAGAGGAUGGAAAUCAUGGCUGUGUGCUGAAAUCACUCUGGGUCAGUAAUUUUUCAGCUAAAGGUGUCCUAUUGGGCAUUCUUACAAUAGAGAGAGGUGGAGCAAGAGGCCACUGGGAUUAUGUUAGAUUUUUAACAUGUGGGAUUAUGGUUAGAUUUUUAAUUGGAUUGGGCAUUUCAAUUAAGUUGGACAGAGCUUUUCAAGCAGGUCAAAGCACUGUCCCCUCAAGCAAGCACCUCUCUGUCUUGCCCAGCUUCCCUGAUUCGCAAGACAGUUCCUCACGAAAUGUUUUUCUUAUACUUUGUUUAUUUGAAGCUGGUAUGAUAGUCUGGGCAUGAGGCCCAGUUUAAUAUAAUUUUUACUGUUGCUACUGCACCCCCAAUUCUAUCAGGAUGGUUAUUAUUGUGUUGUCUAAGACACCUUACCACGGCAAUUAC
ensembl:lncRNA